rnacentral:misc_RNA from 1 species
AUUGUACAUAUAUAAAAUUGUAAAAUUGCAUGGAGUGCCAGUAUCAAUUGUGUCUGACAAAGAUCCUAGGUUCACUUCUAGAUUCUGGGGUAGUCUUCAGAGAGCCCUAGGAACUAGAUUGAACUUCAGUACUGCAUUCCACCCACAGACAGAUGGCCAGUCUGAGAGGGUAAUUCAAAUCUUGGAGGACAUGCUACGGGCUUGUGUGAUUGAGUUUGAGGGUAGUUGGGAUACACACUUGCCUUUGAUUGAGUUUACUUACAACAAC